rnacentral:rRNA from 1 species
UACGUAGGGUGCGAGCGUUGUCCGGAAUUACUGGGCGUAAAGAGCUCGUAGGUGGUUUGUCGCGUUGUUCGUGAAAACUCACAGCUUAACUGUGGGCGUGCGGGCGAUACGGGCAGACUGGAGUACUGCAGGGGAGACUGGAAUUCCUGGUGUAGCGGUGGAAUGCGCAGAUAUCAGGAGGAACACCGGUGGCGAAGGCGGGUCUCUGGGCAGUAACUGACGCUGAGGAGCGAAAGCCGUGGGGAGCGAACAGG